rnacentral:lncRNA from 1 species
UAAAAUAAAAAUCUUAAUAAAUAUUAAAAUAGAAACCUUAAUUAAUCCUACUCAAAAUCUAAUCAAAUUUUAGUCAAAUCCUAAUAAAAUUCUAAUCAGAUCCUAAUCAAAUCUUAAAUAAAUCGUAGUCAAAUCCUAACAAAUCCUAACCAAAUCCUAAUCAAAUCCUAAAAAAACCUUAAUCAAAUCCUAAAUAAAUCCUAACAAAUCCUAAUCAAACUCUAAUCAAACUCUAAUCAAAUCUUAAAUAAAUCUUAAUCAAAUCCUAAUCAAAUCUUAAAUAAAUCUUAAUCAAAUCCUAAACAAAUCUUAAUAAAACUCUAAACAAACCUUAAUCAAAUCUUAACCAAAUUUUAAAUAAAUCCUAAACAAAUCCUAAUCAAAUCCUAAUCAAAUCUUAAUCCAAGUCUAAAAGAAUCUCAACCAAAUUCUAACCAAAUCCUAACCAAAUCCUAAUCAAAU